GACGAACGCUGGCGGCGUGCUUAACACAUGCAAGUCGAGCGGUAAGGCCCUUUCGGGGUACGACGAGCGGCGGAACGGGUAGGAGUAACAACGUGGGUGGACCUCGCCCUCCAGCUCUGGGAGUAAAGACCGUCGGGAAACCGGGGUACCGUAAUAACCGGAGUAUGACUCCAUGACGCAUGUUGGUUGGGGUGGGAAAGACCUU
rnacentral:rRNA from 1 species